rnacentral:rRNA from 1 species
CCUACGGGUGGCUGCAGUCGGGAAUUUUGGGCAAUGGGGGAAACCCUGACCCAGCAACGCCGCGUGAAGGAUGAAGUAUUUCGGUAUGUAAACUUCGAAAGAAUAGGAAGAAUUAAUGACGGUACUAUUUAUAAGGUCCGGCUAACUACGUGCCAGCAGCCGCGGUAAUACGUAGGGACCAAGCGUUGUUCGGAUUUACUGGGCGUAAAGGGCGCGUAGGCGGCAUGGUAAGUCACUUGUGAAAUCUCCGAGCUUAACUCGGAACGGCCAAGUGAUACUGCUGAGCUAGAGUGCAGAAGGGGCAAUCGGAAUUCUUGGUGUAGCGGUGAAAUGCGUAGAUAUCAAGAGGAACACCUGAGGUGAAGACGGGUUGCUGGGCUGACACUGACGCUGAGGCGCGAAAGCUAGGGGAGCAAACGGGAUUAGAUACCCCGGUAGUC